CACAGUGUAGCAAUACAUGGGUGGCGACCGGCAAACGGGUGCGGAACACGUACGCAACCUUCCUUCAGGCGGGGAAUAGCCCAGAGAAAUUUGGAUUAAUACCCCAUAAUAUUUUGAGAUGGCAUCAUCUUAUUAUUAAAGCUACGGCACCUGGAGAUGGGCGUGCGGCUGAUUAGGUAGUUGGCGGGGUAAUGGCCCACCAAGCCUACGAUCAGUAGCUGAUGUGAGAGCAUGAUCAGCCACACGGGCACUGAGACACGGGCCCGACUCCUACGGGAGGCAGCAGUAAGGAAUAUUGGUCAAUGGACGCAAGUCUGAACCAGCCAUGCCGCGUGGAGGAUGAAGGUCCUCUGGAUUGUAAACUUCUUUUAUCUGGGACGAAAAAAGGGUUUUCUAACUCGUCUGACGGUACCAGAUGAAUAAGCACCGGCUAACUCCGUGCCAGCAGCCGCGGUAAUACGGAGGGUGCAAGCGUUAUCCGGAUUCACUGGGUUUAAAGGGUGCGUAGGCGGGCAUUUAAGUCAGUGGUGAAAUACCUGAGCUUAACUUGGGAACUGCCAUUGAUACUAUUUGUCUUGAAUGUCGUGGAGGUUAGCGGAAUAUGUCAUGUAGCGGUGAAAUGCUUAGAUAUGACAUAGAACACCUAUUGCGAAGGCAGCUAACUACGCGAAUAUUGACGCUGAGGCACGAAAGCGUGGGGAUCAAACAGGAUUAGAUACCCUGGUAGUCCACGCCCUAAACGAUGAUUACUCGACAUUAGCGAUACACUGUUAGUGUCUGAGAG
rnacentral:rRNA from 1 species